rnacentral:lncRNA from 1 species
AUUAGGCUCUGUGGGAGCCAAGACUGCCUUGUCUGGCAGCCUCAGGACUUUCAACGGAAUCCUACAAAAGAUCUGGCUAAGAGCUUGGCCAAAGACUAACAAAUACAUCCUGGAUAAAAUUAAAUUUUUGUCCUUGUGAUGCCUCAUCAGAGGGGUUAAAAACAUCAGUUCGGGUCUAUGAUCUAUGCACAAUUGAGAACAUCUACUGAAAGCAAUAAAUGCCUAAUGCCCCAGGCUAGAAUUGGUGAGUAUUUUCUCUUCAUGUGAUAUAAUAGAUAAAAUUAACAAAACAAGGCCGGGUGCAGUGGCUCAUGCCAGUAAUCCCAGCACUUUGGGAGGCUGAGGCAGGAGGAUCGCUCGAGCUCAGGAGUUGGAGACAAGCCUGGGCAACAUGGCAAAAACCCAUCUCCACAAAACAUUCAAAAAAUUAGCUAGACGUAGUGGCGCGUUCAUGUAGUCCCAGCUACUCGGGAGGCUGAGGUGGGAGAAUCACGUGAACCCCAGAGGUUGCAGUGAGCCA